GAUGAACGCUGGCGGCGUGCUUAACACAUGCAAGUCGAACGGAAAGGCUCCUGCUUGCAGGGGUACUCGAGUGGCGAACGGGUGAGUAACACGUGGGUGAUCUGCCCUGCACUUCGGGAUAAGCCUGGGAAACUGGGUCUAAUACCGGAUAGGACCACAUUUUGGAUGGUGUGGUGGAAAGUUUUUCGGUGUGGGAUGCGCUCGCGGCCUAUCAGCUUGUUGGUGGGGUAAUGGCCUACCAAGGCGUCGACGGGUAGCCGGCCUGAGAGGGUGUACGGCCACAUUGGGACGGAGAGACGGCCCAGACUCCUACGGGAGGCAGCAGUGGGGAGUAUUGCACAAUGGGCGCAAGCCUGAUGCAGCGACGCCGCGUGGGGGAUGACGGCCUACGGGUUGUAAACUCCUUUCGCUGGGGACGAAGCGCAAGUGACGGUACCUGGAGAAGAAGCACCGGCUAACUACGUG
rnacentral:rRNA from 1 species